AACGAACGCUGGCGGCAGGCUUAACACAUGCAAGUCGAGCGAGACCUUCGGGUCUAGCGGCGGACGGGUGAGUAACGCGUGGGAACGUGCCCUUCCCUACGGAAUAGCUCCGGGAAACUGGGAGUAAUACCGUAUACGCCCUUUGGGGGAAAGAUUUAUCGGCGAAGGAUCGGCCCGCGUUGGAUUAGGUAGUUGGUGGGGUAAUGGCACACCAAGCCGACGAUCCAUAGCUGGUUUGAGAGGAUGAUCAGCCACACUGGGACUGAGACACGGCCCAGACUCCUACGGGAGGCAGCAGUGGGGAAUCUUAGACAAUGGGGGCAACCCUGAUCUAGCCAUGCCGCGUGAGUGAUGAAGGCCUUAGGGUUGUAAAGCUCUUUCAGCUGGGAAGAUAAUGACGGUACCAGCAGAAGAAGCCCCGGCUAACUCCGUG
rnacentral:rRNA from 1 species